rnacentral:lncRNA from 1 species
UGAGCUCUUUUCUGUCUUCCAGGUAUCCAUGCAGUGGCAGACCUGGCAGGACUGGCAAGACGACACCUGUAGCCCCAUUGGACACCUCUGGGCUGAGAACUGAUGCUGCAGUGCUCUGAAUUGGAGGGGUUCGUUGAAGCAACAGUGACUUAUCAUCCACUUCUGCAUGCUCUGGCCGUCAAAGUUACUGACUGACUUCAUUAUUCAGGUAAAGUCAUCAGAAAUGUUCUAACGCACUUUCUGGAGCCACACAAUUAUGUUAGAGUUCCACUGCUGCUUAGAUUUGCGAAGCUUUCUGUAUUUCCUUUGUUCUUCCUUUGCACGAAGAGUGAACAAAUGGUAGCAGCGUGCCUUCAAGAAGAAAUCACCUGUGCACACAUACAGACAACAAACCCUACCAAAAAUGCCUGAAAUGUAAGAAUUCGGUUUAUCACUUUCAGCAAGAACACAAAGCCACAGAAUAAACUAAAAAAAAAACUGUUUUAUUGUGACAUUUAUGACAUUGAACCCUUGCUGAUAUGAAUGACUAUGGGUACUCUUGACAUGUUACAUAAUGUCAUGGCGUAGGAUGGCACUGAUUGUCAUCUGACUUUUGAGAAUGUUUAAUGGUCCCUACUGACCUCAGUGCAUUUUGGCAAGUCACAGAAACUUUAUCAUCAGGUUUGUGUAUACAGUUAACAAGUAGUUGGUCUUAUAAGCACCAUUACAAACCCUCACAUUAAGGGUAUUAUUAAUCUAGUUUACAAAUGCUUCAUUGAUAAAAAUAGCAUGAUUACAGUAUACACACACUUAAUUUACAUGUAAUGUAUUAUAGGCAUAACUGAGAUAAACUACUGAGCUAACUUUGGUUGAUUGAAGUAUUUAGACUGAAUAAUGGCAAUUUUGGCUUCUAAGUUGUGUAAAUAUUACAGUGCAUUUAUAAAUCUAGGUUGAAAAUUUACUAGCACCAAAUGGAUAUCAUAAAUGGCUGACCUAGUAAGUUGUAGUUGGAGAAGCGAAGUUUAAGAAUUACAAAAAUAGAGCUGUCCAUCAGUUGAAAGCACAUUCUUGUACCUCUGCUGAAAUGAUGACGUGUCUCAGCAUCAGUGGCCAACUUCCAAAGGCAAAAGUCCCAGUUUUCAAGAUUCAACAUAUCAAGGUAGCUCAGCUACAGUUAAAAGCCUGAGAAAGUGGUUGUUUUGAGCUAGGGUAUUCAUCCUGUACCUUGUUUAUGUAUUAAUAUAAUAGUGCUCCUUCAUACAAAUGUACUCAUGUAAGAUUGUACCUAUGAUAUGGAGAAUCUGAUUGGGAGGAAUAUUCAGUCCUACCUAUCUAUCUUUGGUUUAAUUAUUUGGUCUUUGGUUGAUGAAUUAAUGAAGCAAUAUCUGAAUUUUCAUUUUCAGGUUAUCUCCCAGCUCACCACUGAGGUAGUCUUUGUCAUGUUUCUCUUCAAGCUGGUUAAGUUCCUUCUUUUUAUAGAGUGGAAUACUACUGAUUUGUAAUGAAUAGUUUCCAGGCACUGGCUUCUUCUUUGUGAAAUGAAGGUAACUUAUUCCGUCCUUCUUAUUGAUUCUAAAGAAACCAUCUUCGUUUCCGGAGUCAAUUAAAUAUCGGUUAUGGUUUGUCAGUGUUGUGAGGGCAGGAAGCAGUUUCAGGAUGCGAAAUUUGUUACUGAGAUCGGAGAUGUUGAUAGAAAAGACUGCUGCUUUCUCAAUAUCCCAGCUGGCAAGACUGACUGGAGGCUCCAGCUCUUGCUCAUCCUGCACAAGAACAAAUGAUGUUAGCUGCCUUUGUCAGAGAACGUUUCACAGGCAUCUAUAUGUGUAUUUCUUAUUCAGC